rnacentral:lncRNA from 10 species
CACAGCUGGCCAUACCUAGGAAAUUAAUUUAUAUCAACCAAGUUUACAGGAUACCAAUGUAUAAACUUGAUCAUAAUUUAGUCAUUUGAACUGUAGAAACUUCUUUCUCCAUGACCAAUAUGUACCUAUUCUAGGCAUGUGGAAAAUCAACCGGAACUUCAGCUGGUGGCUUAAUGAGAUAAUUUUGAGACCUGUUUCUCCUAGACUGUAAGAGGUAGAUGAAAUCCUCCACCACAUCAGAGGACACCUCUCAGAGUAUGGAAUAUAGUACAUCCUCCAGAAUCAGCUGGGAACAAUGACUGCCAAAAGUGUCCAGAGGAAGUCUGCAGGACCUGGGUCUCUCCUAGGUGGAAUAUUCUUUGAAAUCAGCAGGGAACAGAUGUCCACAUCCUGGACUCAGGAAUUUGCGCAGAAGGAGACACUCCAAGCAGUGCUCCGACACACAAGAGGCCCCAGGAAUUCGGAGACCUGAGUAACCCCAAGGAAGCCCUGGCCGCACUCAGGCUGCUGUUUUCAGGCAAAACUAAACAACUCAUAUCAGUCCAAGCACAAAGGAUACUCUCCAAGGAUCAUGGACAUGGAGGAAUACAUUUUGGUAAAGUUGCUGGAAGUCUGGCCUGUAGAAGGAAAGUAACUUGGGUCUGGCCUUGAUGAGGCUCCUGAAUUUUCCUGCUUGUGAUACGGUGGUGUUCUGAAGACUGGCAAGUACCUUUCUUGUUUCUCUGCUGCUAUCCUGAAAAUGUGACUUGCGUGCAUUUGGGAGAAAGGUUUGCUGCCUGGGACAGUGCAACACAAGUUUAGAAGGCAGACUUGAAUCUGUCUGCACAUUUGGUCAGGUGAGCUUGGGCAUGCUCUUUAACAUCUGAAACUUUCCUUCUCCUUUUAUGCAAAAAAGGAGAAAAUCACCUGGGUGCAGGGUGGAGGAGGUAGCACUAAUAUUUACUGAGCAUUUACUAUGUCCCAAACAUUUCUUCUUCUCAGUGCUUUAUAUGUGUUCUCUCAUGUGAGCCUACAGUUACCUGUGAGAUAGAUAGUAACAUAAUCUGGACCUCACAAACAAACUGCCACAGAGAAGUAACUUGUUGAAAGCCACACAAAUAAGAUUGGAAUCCAGGAAAUCUGGCUUCUCGGCCACCAUUCUUUUUUUUUUUUUUAGAUGGAGUCUGGCUCUGUCACCCAGGCUGGAGUGCAGUGGCGAGAUCUCGGCUCACUGCAAGCUCCGCCUCCCGGUUUCAUGCCAUUCUCCUGCUUCAGCCUCCCGAGUAGCUGGGGCUACAGGCGCGCGCCACCACGCCCAACUAAUUUUUUGUAUUUUUAGUAGAGACAAGGUUUCACCAUCUUGGCCAGGAUGGUCUUGAUUCUUGACCUUGUGAUCCACCUGCCUCGGCCUCCCAAAGUGCUGGGAUCACAGGCGUGAGCCACUGUGCCUGUCAGCCACCAUUCUUAACCAUAACUGCCUCAGUAUGUUGUUGAGAGAAAUAACUAAAAAGAUGAACGUUAAACACAAAACAGUGCCAGGCACAUGGACGUGCUUAUUACAUGUAGCUGAAACAACAAAUCAUCAUCAUCCUCAGUAGCAAUAUCAAUAAUAUGGAUGGAAGGGCAGUUUUUCCAUUUGUUACAGGUGGAAUUUAAUCUCCUGAGAACCAGGUAAAGAGAUCUUCAUUUCACCCAUAAGUCCAAUCAGUACUUGGUGAAGGAUUCCUUCUUUCUUCCUCACCUGUCCUCCCCCUAGUGAACCACUGGUGUCAUUAAGAAACAGUUAACACACAUCAUCUUUCUUAGCUAUUUUUGCUGCCUGCCAUCUGGAGUGCCUCGGCUCUCUUGGAUGUGUUCACACUAAAUCAGCAGAUGAAAGCAUUAACUAAUUUCUCCAUUUCAGAUCCGCUCAUUUGGGUAACGAUGACCUUUAAAACGAGUGUCAUCCACCUCAUAACCAUGUGCCAUAUGUUGGAUGUCGGAUAAUAAAGCAUAUUUAAACUUAGCAGGCUCCAUAACACCUUAUGGCUGGUUGGUGAUUAACUAAUAACUUCCUUACCAGCAUCUUCCCGGUUAAGGCUGACAAAGCGUUUUGUUUGCCACUUAGUGUCCGUUUCCAUUGGAACCUUUUCAAACAUACUCCUAGAAGACUUGAUUGUGCACUGAAGCUUUCUCGUUCACUCUUGGCAUAUGGGGCCAGCACAUUUUCUCCCCCAGAUAUUUUAUUUCAUGCAAAAACAUAAUACCAGACACUGAUCCCUGAGUGCCAGACAUUGAUCCCUGAGUGCCAAGUGCCAAGAUCCCAUUUACUGUUCACAAAAGCUCCACAGGACAAGGGUUUCUGUGCCCAUUUAUGUACAGAUGAGAGUGAGGGUCAAAGAAACCGAGCAAUUAGCGCAAGUUCAUGGAAGGGCUGAGAUCUGAACCCAGAUCUCUUUCCCUAAAUGCCAUGACUGUAUUUUUACUUAUUUUUGUUUUUGCUAAAAUGCAAGAUACCAUUUUGGGUGUUUUGUUUUCCUCCCAUUCAGGGAAUCAAGCUAUGCCCUAGUUCAUGUCUUCAUCAGAAUGGGAAGCUUUAAAAGUUAAUUCCC